rnacentral:rRNA from 1 species
ACCCGCUGAACUUAAGCAUAUCAAUAAGCGGAGGAAAAGAAACCAACAGGGAUUGCCUCAGUAACGGCGAGUGAAGCGGCAAAAGCUCAAAUUUGAAAUCUGGCUCUUUCAGGGUCCGAGUUGUAAUUUGUAGAAGAUGCUUUGGGUGUGGCUCUGGUUUAAGUUCUUUGGAAUAUUACAUCAUAGAGGGUGAGAAUCCCGUAUGUGACCAGUCGCCGCCCCCGUGUAAAGCUCUUUCAACGAGUCGAGUUGUUUGGGAAUGCAGCUCAAAAUGGGAGGUAUAUUUCUUCUAAAGCUAAAUAUUGGCCAGAGACCGAUAGCGCACAAGUAGAGUGAUCGAAAGAUGAAAAGCACUUUGGAAAGAGAGUUAAACAGUACGUGAAAUUGUUGAAAGGGAAGCGCUUGCAACCAGACUUGCACGCAGUUGAUCAUCCGGUGUUCUCACCGGGGCACUCUGCUGCGUUCAGGCCAGCAUCGGUUUUGGUGGUUGGAUAAAGGCCUUGGGAAUGUAGCUUCUUUCGGGGAGUGUUAUAGCCCUCGGUGCAAUGCAGCCUACCGGGACCGAGGACCGCGCUUCGGCUAGGAUGCUGGCGUAAUGGUUGU